UGAAAAUGUGAUAGUGUGAAAUCAAGUUUGCAAGCGGUAGGACGCGUCGGUGUGUGUCCGUUUUUUCUCUCGUGAAACCAGUACGGAAAAACUAUUUGAAAUCGUAACACACGCACGAACGGAAGUGAGCACGGACCACAACAGAAGCAAUAUUCAAUUGGUUGGAGUGCCGAAAACAGAACAGGAGAGGAAAGAAGGCAGGAACGAUCCGAUCCUCCAACGUGCUAGCGCCUGGUAGAGGAGAAGCGGCAGGAAGGUAGAGACGAACAUCCACCUCGCUAGUGCAGCACGUGGGAGCAGCAAGAGGGAAGCAAGCAGGACGCGUACACACCAUUCGACGAAGGCAAAGCUGGAGGAAAGGAAGAACGAGGAGAGAAGGCAGGCAAGACGGGUACGUGUGUAUCCCGCACCGGUUUUUGGCAGUGUGAAAUGUGAGUAUUGAAAAGUGUAUGUGUGAGUAGAAGUAAAGAGGUAAAAUAAAGAGCGAAUGUGUGGAAUGGGAAAAUGAAAGAGAGUCUGUGUUUGUUUUGGGAGAGAGGAGAGAAUGAAAGAAAUUGAACAA